UUUCAUAAUCAGCUCCGGCCAUCCCCCAACAUCCUUAGCCUGUGUCUGCAAGAGAAGCUAAGAAAAGCUCCCUAAAUGUUACCACAGUUUAUCACACUGGGAUGUUGAAACCUGGGACGGAUCACAACAGAGCAUAGAAAUUGGAAAGGAACCACACAUCACCAUCACAGAUUUACAGUCCUAACGUAUAGAAUUGGGACAUCGAAAGGUAGAAAUAGAAACUGCUGAAAGCUGGUGUAAAAAUGGGAAAUAGAAACUGCUGAGAAGAGCUUAUGAAUAUGCAUGAGUAUGAUCAAUAAAUACCAGCAAGCUCAGCAGUGUGCAGUCGGAGGGGAAAACCCCCAGCACUGUACCCAGCGCUGUCUCUGCUCGUACGUGACCAUAUUAAUUAAUAAAUUAAUAAAUUGAAUUGCUGCUUGA